AUGAAAUGAGAGGGAAAAUCGGUUCACUUUCUCUGUCUAUUUUUACUUUCCUUGUUUUUACUUUUUAUUAUCAACAUAAUUUAAUAAAUUAUUGUGUUUUGCUCACUUACUUUUUUUUUGUUUAAUUGUUACUUUAAAGUUUUAAUGUGUGCUCUUGCCGUCUAUCCAAUGUUUAUUCAUAUUGAGUUGCCAUUGAAAUAUCAUUGACUGGAAAGAUAAACAAAACUCACUCUUUUACUCAUGUUAUAAUAUGGUGAGAUGAACCGCUCAGAAGAUAUAUUAUAACUCCCAUAGACAGAGAAGAUAGAAAGAGGAAAAGAAGAAAGUGUAAAGAAGAAAGACACGCACUAGGUUAGUAGGGCCUGUGAUCGGUGUUGCAUGUUAAUUUGGCCUUGGAUGGAAGCAAAAAAAGAUUCAAAAAAGGCCUCGAUGGAGACUUUAACUGCACCAUUUUAACACUCAAAAAAAUUAACCAAGGGCAUCAAAGUUGGGUCAUUAUUAUGUCUAUUUAUACAUGAUUUGCAGUGGUCUAUUAAUAUUGGAAUCAACAACCUGAUAAAAGUUGGAUCUUUUUUAAUUGUCUUGUUUAGCUGAACAUUUGCAAUUUACUCUGAGAAAAUUUCAACACAAUAGACAAUAGAAAGCCAAAUUGUUGUUCUCUUCUUGGUCAAGCUUGUUCAAUUUGCUGGGCAACUUUUUUUUCAGAAAAUAUUACCAAAUUGGGAAAAGUUAAAUUGUGCGUUGAAUAAUUAACGUUUAACCAUAUCCAUUUGUAUCCACACGAUCACAAGGAAUAGGAAUGAAAUGAAAGUGGAAAUAAGUAUUUUGGGAAACAAUCUUGUUCCCAAUGAAUUGAAUAAUGCUGAUCGCAAACACUUUAUCAACAUCUUAAGCCUUGGAUAAAUAUUACCGAUUGUGAUUAACAUGCCACAAUAAUCAAUUUACAUCAAAUCCCAACAGCAAUUCUUUUAUUCAACUUAUUGAAGGAGCAGCAAAUGAUUCUGAUAAAUCAUUUUUCCCAAAGAUUUCAUUUCUGGUUAAGCCAGGCUACACUUUUCUUCAUCUUAUGUAACUAUCAGACUAUCGCUCAUCGCAUUGAGUAAAAAUAAGUAAUUAAGACUUACAA